AUCGCUGGCGACUAGAGCGCAGGGGCCACACCCGUUCCCAUCCCGAACACGGCCGUUAAGCCCUGCAGCGCCGAUGGUACUCCGCCCGAGAGGGCGCGGGAGAGUAGGCCGUCGCCGGCACCUC
rnacentral:rRNA from 1 species